GGGAGGACUCUGCCGGGAAGCUAGCACUCUCCUAUAAGCGCAAACGUGCUUUAGGCGCGGUGAAGCUUGGGAAGCAGCAUUUGCUGUUGUAUUUGGUCUUGCUUCUGGCGUCGAAGCUCUGUCCCAUUGGACUUGUGUCUUUGAAAAUCCGUAAGGUCUGGAAAGAAAUCAACAAAAAAGUUGACUUAAAGCAGCGGUAAUCUCAGGCACUGGUGCUAAUGGAAAACAGAGUGGAGCUUGAUGCAAGGUAGCUAAUUGCAAUUGCUUUUGCCCAUUCUCAGGCACGUCCUCCC
rnacentral:SRP_RNA from 1 species